rnacentral:rRNA from 1 species
GAUUGAACGCUGGCGGCAUGCCUUACACAUGCAAGUCGAACGGCAGCGCGGGGCAACCUGGCGGCGAGUGGCGAACGGGUGAGUAAUAUAUCGGAACGUACCCUGGAGUGGGGGAUAACGUAGCGAAAGUUACGCUAAUACCGCAUACGAUCUAAGGAUGAAAGCNGGGGANCGCAAGNCCUNNUGCUCCUGGAGCGGCCGAUAUCUGAUUAGCUAGUUGGUAGGGUAAAAGCCUACCAAGGCAUCGAUCAGUAGCUGGUCUGAGAGGACGACCAGCCACACUGGAACUGAGACACGGUCCAGACUCCUACGGGAGGCAGCAGUGGGGAAUUUUGGACAAUGGGCGCAAGCCUGAUCCAGCAAUGCCGCGUGAGUGAAGAAGGCCUUCGGGUUGUAAAGCUCUUUUGUCAGGGAAGAAACGG